AGUGAACGCUGGCGGUAGGCCUAACACAUGCAAGUCGAACGGCAGCACAGUAAGAGCUUGCUCUUACGGGUGGCGAGUGGCGGACGGGUGAGGAAUACAUCGGAAUCUACUUUUUCGUGGGGGAUAACGUAGGGAAACUUACGCUAAUACCGCAUACUACCUACGGGUUAAAGCAGGGGAUCUUCGGACCUUUCGCGAUUGGAUGAGCCGGUGUCGGAUUAGCUAGUUGGCGUGGUAAAGGCCCACCAAGGCGACGAUCCGUAGCUGGUCUGAGAGGAUGAUCAGCCACACUGGAACUGAGACACGGUCCAGACUCCUACGGGAGGCAGCAGUGGGGAAUAUUGGACAAUGGGCGCAAGCCUGAUCCAGCCAUACCGCGUGGGUGAAGAAGGCCUUCGGGUUGUAAAGCUCUUUUGUUGGGAAAGAACAGCAGCAGGUUAAUACCCCGAUGUUCUGACGGUACCCAAAGAAUAAGCACCGGCUAACUUCGUG
rnacentral:rRNA from 1 species